AUGCAGUCGACGCUUCUUUUUCCACCGGAGCUUGCUCCACCGGAAAAAGAGGAGUGGCGAACGGGUGAGUAACACGUGGGUAACCUGCCCAUCAGAAGGGGAUAACACUUGGAAACAGGUGCUAAUACCGUAUAACAAUCGAAACCGCAUGGUUUUGAUUUGAAAGGCGCUUUCGGGUGUCGCUGAUGGAUGGACCCGCGGUGCAUUAGCUAGUUGGUGAGGUAACGGCUCACCAAGGCCACGAUGCAUAGCCGACCUGAGAGGGUGAUCGGCCACAUUGGGACUGAGACACGGCCCAAACUCCUACGGGAGGCAGCAGUAGGGAAUCUUCGGCAAUGGACGAAAGUCUGACCGAGCAACGCCGCGUGAGUGAAGAAGGUUUUCGGAUCGUAAAACUCUGUUGUUAGAGAAGAACAAGGAUGAGAGUAACUGUUCAUCCCUUGACGGUAUCUAACCAGAAAGCCACGGCUAACUACGUGCCAGCAGCCGCGGUAAUACGUAGGUGGCAAGCGUUGUCCGGAUUUAUUGGGCGUAAAGCGAGCGCAGGCGGUUUCUUAAGUCUGAUGUGAAAGCCCCCGGCUCAACCGGGGAGGGUCAUUGGAAACUGGGAGACUUGAGUGCAGAAGAGGAGAGUGGAAUUCCAUGUGUAGCGGUGAAAUGCGUAGAUAUAUGGAGGAACACCAGUGGCGAAGGCGGCUCUCUGGUCUGUAACUGACGCUGAGGCUCGAAAGCGUGGGG
rnacentral:rRNA from 1 species